rnacentral:lncRNA from 1 species
UCUGGACUGCUGGGACUCUAAGCUAGGCCCUCCCCAGGUUCCAUCACUGCGGCGCCAACCCGCGGCUGGGCUGUCCGCAAGAGGGAGUUGAAGGCGCGCGGAAUCCCGAGGUGCAGCUGACCCUCCUCUCAACGCCGACUCUGCCGCUCCCGCCCGGCCACCUCCCUGUCGGGCAGACUUCCUGUUCUCCUGCUCACAGCAGGGAGGCAGUCGCCGAGCCGGUCAGCAGCGUGCACGGAGAUCUUCACUCUGCGCCCAGCCCCGGGACACAGGUGCAGAUCUCCAGCGGAGCACUGCGGAGUGCGCGCCGUCGAGCACUAGGGAAUCCUAGACGGAGGACUUGGUCCAUUCCACGCAGUCCCAGGCAGGUCCGCAGCGGAGGGACGCAGCGGUCUCCAACUCCUGGUCACGACUUCGGCGACCCUCCACCCCCUGAGAGACCUGGUCCCACGGAGCUGUCCCCCCAGGAGCCGCAGCGGGAAUAGCAAAGCAAAGGGGACCACUCAGCCCCCAGGAGGAGCCCUGAAGCAAAAAGGUUGCUGCGGGGAGCCACGUUCCCUCUGGUUCACCUCGAAGCCCAGGAGCUCCGGUCCCUGGACCAAGGAGUGAACAGACCUGAGGAAGAGGUGCAAGCUUAAAGUGUUGCUGCCAGACCUUUCUUCUCUUCUAAUUUACCAAGUGAAGAAUGUUGAAAUAUCCAACUAUAAUUUGUGGAUUUCUCCUUUCAAUGCUAUCAUUUUUGGUGCUUCAUGUAUUUUUGAAGCUCUAUUAUUAGUCCAGCCGAGCUGCCAUCUCUUCAAGGAAGUUUUCCCUGAAGCCCUCAGGUAGACCCGUUUUUCCAUGGCGGCCACAUCAGCAUGCAGCACAUUUAAUUGGAAGUCUCCACAUAUGAGUUGGUUUUCCUUACUUAAAAUAUGCUUAUCAUCCCUUGGAGGUCUGAUGCAUUUUUCUGUCUCUGCAGACCAGCUCCUCCCCCCUCCAAAUCUCAAUGGAAGAAUGCGACAUUCUGGAUUCAGCUACCCAAAGAGGGGUUUUUUCCCCCUCUUUGUCUCUAUUAUACAUUUUAUAGGAAGGAAUUCUGUCCCAGUUAAUUCAAACUGGGACCAGAGGAACAGGGUCCCGCUGCUCAAAAUGGCUGUCACCCGUGGGUAAGGGGAGCAGUCAGAGAGUCAUUGUGACUGGGGUGGCAGUCCCACUCCAAUCUGCCUUGUGGCUUCCUAGCCUGCAACAUACAUCCUCCCAGACAUACAAAAUGUGCCUCUGCCUGAGUCUUCCUGGCAGGGAGUUUGGUACCCCCCAACAUUGGGAGGGGAGCUUACAACACAGGACUAUCUCUUCCCAUAGAUAAUCUCCUCACAAAGCUCCACUCAGGACCACUUAUAUUCUUGAGCACUUGAAAAUAUUGGCUAUUUCCUUCUGACCCCCAUGGUUUCUUUUAAAAAAUUUGCUGUUGUUUGAAUUAUUUUUCUCUACAGGUAUUGACUGCUGCCUCAUGAAGGCUGGUCCUGUCUCUAUAGUGAAUAUUGUGCACCUCAGGGUAGAAUGGAGAGCAGAAGACUUCAAAUCAGGCAGUCUGGGUUCAGACCCCAAUUCUAGUGCUAAAUAGCUACGUGACUUUAGGCCGAUUGUGUGUGACUUCCCUGAGCCCCAGUCUCUUUGCCUGCAAAAUGAGAAAAAUUAUAACAAUGUCAUCGGUUGUUCUGAGGAUUCUGAGAGGAAUUAGUAGGAGAGAGAACUAAGAAGCUGCGGGCCUCUACAGAGCCAUUCAACUGGCAUUUCGGAAGAUGUUGCCCAUCAGAGUCAGACCUUCUUAGCAUCUUCCGGCUGGGCCCAAACUUCCCAAGACCAUUUGGACAAGGUCAUCUCUAUCCCACCAUGGCCUCCUCCCAGAGGAGGAGAAGAAUCAUGCUGUUACAGCAGAACCGAAGAUUUGGGCAAGGGAGCUAAUGAUUAUGUUCUGCGUCAGGUCAGAGAUGGGCUGGGAAAGCCACUCCAAAGCCAAGACAAGCAGUUUCCUGGAAAAAGAAGGCUGCGCGGAGCCCAGAGUGGCCUGGAUCCUGCCUCAUUUCCUGGACCAGCUCCUUAGGUGGUUACUGGAUUGCCAAUAAAGCAGAGCUUAUUAAAGUCAACGAGCUCAGGCUUCAUCGCCGCCAUGGUAUCCAAGCACCAGUCUGUCUGGGAUUUCAUUUGCCAGAUGGACAAAGGAGAGGUUGUUCCAAUACAUAUCCUGAGUGGUGGGGGUGGGGAGAGAAGGGGAAGAAUGCUCUCUAGAGAAUUCUCUUUGUCCUCUGAAGUAAAUAGAGAUCAUGUCUUCCCCAGCCACACUCAGUGAUCUGAAUCUCUUGGACUGUGGAUUUUUCCUUUACCUGCUGUGAAGCCUUGAAAAGUAUGAAUUAGCUUGAUAAUGAUCCUCUAAAGAUGUUCAAGAGUUAAAGACGUGUUUAAGUUCUUCAGGCAAUCCAAUAUGACUACGGGUUUCCAAAAAUUUGAAGGAAACUGAAAAUCAUAGUUCCCAAACCAGAUAUUUUCCGGUGUCCAGAUGUUCACUGGCAUGCAAACCAAAUGUCUGGAUUAUGAGCUCCUUUUUUCAUUUCUUUUUAUCAGCUUACAUCCAGAUGUUGGAUCCAACUGGUCAGAGGCCUGGGGCAGAGACAGAAAUCAAAUCUAGGGUGUUCAUCUAGAGUCUCCUGCUCCUCCAUUCCUGCUUCCUCCUCACGCUGCCCCCACAUCCUCCCCAACUCACCUUCAUGCUACAUCUCGGCAAAUACAGCUCAUAUCCAGGCACGGUGCAGCCCUUGACAGCUGGGUCCGCAAAGGCAGAUCGGGUAUAUCUUUAAAGAAAAGUUAUCUUAACCAUUGAGAAGCCUUCCUUCCUCAGAGGAGAGCACCUCCCCAGCAGACCUCCGAGGAGACCAAGGGCAGGACAGGAAGGGUGAAAGGAAGUUUCAGGACUGCAGGAAAUAAGAGCUUGGAGGUCAAGGGAGAGAUCAGAUAAAACAUGAAUCUGAUCAGCAUCCUAGUGGUCUAGAGUGGAGACAAUCUGCGGAGUCAACCUCAGUAAGGACACACAUAGAGAAGAACCAAAGCCUCUAAAGACGAAGCUGAGAAGUGUACGGUCGUAGAAGACUCGUGUCUGUUAUUCUUAAAAGCUCAAGGAGAUGUUCUGCCAAUUGAAUGGAAACUGUCCAUAGUGGGGAGCAGAGAGCCUCAUCUUUUCUGGAACUGAACAUCCAUCCUUAAGGCCAGAUUUCUCCCAUCACCAACUUUAACUCCUGCCCUAGCCCUCUCUCUUCCUUUUCAAAACCCUCUCCACCCAGGAAGGGAGAUUCUGGAGCCAAGACUGUACCAGCCACACCUCCCCAGAGUUGUUAAGGAAGGAACUCGAAGCCAGGGGUGGUCUUCUGGCAAGCACCCCCACUACCAGUAGCAGGACAGAUGUGUUUCUAAUGGACUACACUAUCCCCGGAGGUCACAUGAUUCAGGCUGCCAAGGGUACCUGCCCUUGGGAAAUCAACUCCCGAAGAUAAAUUGGGAUUGGGUCCUGAGAAGAUCCAUGGAAGCCCAGAGGACCCUGCCUCUCUCUGUUGCUUCAUGCUGUAGAGGCAGUACUGGGGAGGGCCUGCCCCACAUCCGGCAGGGCAGCUGGAACCAUGUGUUUGAUGACACUCUGCUCCCUCAAUGUGGAGCCUCAUCCUCAUCUCACAGUCUAGCAGGCCUCUGGUGGGUUAGGCUUGUCUCACCCAGUGUGUGAGUUUUUUUGGAAGUGACCUGAUUUUGGAGUUUCCCUCCAAGCCUUUCUCAGGUACAUGCUUUCUCUUUUAUUCUGUCUUCUUUUUUUGAUCUUCUUAAAUCUGAUUUUCUCCUUUUUCCCUCUCUUGUCUCCAUCUUUUUUCCAGUCUCUCGCUUCUCUUUAUUUCUCCCCAUAUUUCACUCUGUUCUCUCACCCCAACCUUUCCCUUCUGUUUCUCUCCCUCCCUCUCUUCCCACCCCCUGCCUGGCCUUCCAUAUAUCAAGCAGAGUUUUAUCACCUUAUGCAGGGGCAGCCCUGCCACCUGCCAUAAAGUUGAUAGGCUAAUGACAUUUUGUGGAUAUUGCCAUGUCACAAGUCCAGGACAGCAUCAAAAAUAGCCCUGAUGUCUAAACCACUUCAGCUAUCUUUUUUAUUUUUAAAAUAAAUACAUUCACAUGCUUUUAAGAAACUAUAAAAAUAUAUAAAGUAAAAAGAUCUUUCUCUCACACUGUCUCCACCUCUCCUGGUCUCACCGUUGUGCUUAGGGGAAACCAUUGUGAUUAGUUUCUCCUGUGUCCUUCCAGAGUGUCUUUAUGCAAAUGAAAAUUAUUGUGAUAAUAUAUUCCUAUUUUCCCCCUUACUACACAAAAGAUAGACUACCAUAAUCCCAUUCUGCACUUUUUUUUCACUUGAUAAUAAAAACAUGAUUU